rnacentral:rRNA from 1 species
UACAGGGGGCUCAAGCGUUGUUCGGAUUCAUUGGGCGUAAAGGGCGCGUAGGCUGCGGGGCAAGUCGGGUGUGAAAUCUCAGAGCUCAACUCUGAAACUGCACUCGAUACUGCUUUGCUCGAGGACUGGAGAGGAGAUUGGAAUUCACGGUGUAGCAGUGAAAUGCGUAGAUAUCGUGAGGAAGACCAGUGGCGAAGGCGGAUCUCUGGACAGUUCCUGACGCUGAGGCGCGAAGGCCAGGGGAGCAAACGGG